CGUAGGUGGCAAGCGUUGUCCGGAUUUAUUGGGUUUAAAGGUGCGUAGGUGCCCUGUAAGUCAGUGGUGAAAUAUCUCAGCUUAACUGAGAGGGUGCCAUUGAUACUGCAGGGCUUGAGUACAGAUGAGGUAGGCGGAAUUGACGGUGUAGCGGUGAAAUGCAUAGAUAUCGUCAAGAACACCGAUAGCGAAGGCAGCUUACCAAGCUGUAACUGACACUGAGGCACGAAAGUGUGGGGAUCAAACAGGAUUAGAUACCCUGGUAGUCCACACUGUAAACGUUGAUGACUCGAUGUUGGCGAUACACAGCCAGCGUCCAAGAGCAAUCGUUAAGUCAUCCACCUGGGGAGUACGCCGGCAACGGUG
rnacentral:rRNA from 1 species